GCAAGCCUGGCCAUGGAGGUCACCCCGGACACGGUGCUGAUGGAGUUGAAACCGAAGAUGGAGGGAACUAAAUAAACCCUUGCUAACCUAGCUAAGCCUUCUUCUUCUUCUUCCUUGUUGGCUAAGCUAGGUCUUUUAUGAAUGUGUUGCUUGCUGAAAUAAAUAACUAAGCUUUAGUUUAUGAAUGUUUUCUUGUCAGCAAGUGUGUGUGUGUAAGGCUCGAUAUUGAGAUGUGGCCAUGAAUGUUCUUUUAUAAGGCACCAUGGUUACGUUGAUAUUGAUCGGGUAAUUUGUACUACUAUAAAAUAUAUAAGUGUUUUACUUCUUGUGCUCUGAUGUGCCGUGACAAAUUUGGGAGUUUUGGCUACGUUAAGAAGAAGUUUAGUUAAAUAAGCAUAUGACGAAUGAACUAAAAGUCCACUUUUAUUGUCACCAGCAGCGACGGAUCUAGACAUCUCAUUCGGAGGGGGCUACAUCUAAUAACACCUACAAAAAU
rnacentral:lncRNA from 1 species